rnacentral:rRNA from 1 species
CCUACGGGGGGCUGCAGUGGGGAAUUUUGGACAAUGGGGGCAACCCUGAUCCAGCCAUUCCGCGUGAGUGAAGAAGGCCUUCGGGUUGUAAAGCUCUUUUGUUCGGGACGAAACGGUUAAGGCUAAUAACCUUGACUACUGACGGUACCGGAAGAAUAAGCACCGGCUAACUACGUGCCAGCAGCCGCGGUAAUACGUAGGGUGCGAGCGUUAAUCGGAAUUACUGGGCGUAAAGCGUGCGCAGGCGGUUUUAUAAGCCAGAUGUGAAAGCCCCGGGCUCAACCUGGGAAUGGCAUUUGGGACUGUAAGGCUGGAGUAUGGCAGAGGAGACUAGAAUUCCUGGUGUAGCAGUGAAAUGCGUAGAUAUCAGGAGGAAUACCGAUGGCGAAGGCAGGUCUCUGGGCCAAUACUGACGCUCAUGCACGAAAGCGUGGGGAGCAAACAGGCUUAGAUACCCCUGUAGUC